CGAUGCCCUCCAGCCUCUGGGUUAGCUGCCCAUUGUUGCUCUUCUCCUCCUCCUCCUGCUGCUGCUGCUGCUGCUGGUGGUCGUGAUCAAGGCAUUCAUCCUCCAUUGUCUGACAGGAAACAAUGGGUUAAUGUCAGUGAAGCACAUGAACACACGGUUGACAGAGAUCGACAGGUAGUGUUGAGGCUGAGCUUGAUGCUAGGAUAAAGCUUAGUUAGCAGCAACUUGUAUACAUGAUCUUGUAUGGUUACUGUCAUAAGCAACUCAGAGUUCAGACAAGUACACGGGGAUGACACUGUCAAGCUUGUCCUAUAUAUGUAAGCUCCGGAAAAGACAAGGUAGGAAGUGGUGUUAAUUAACUGUGCUUACGGCUCAUGCUCUUAGUGGGUGCUAAAUAAAGUCUCCACAAAAGAGCUCAAAAUGUUGCUUUUGGCAGCACUUAGUAGAUUAGAGCAUCUUUUGGUAGUGUGCUCUACUGCGGAGCCAGGGUGUGUCCUUGAUGCCUUUGGUUUGUGAGCUCACGCACGUCUUGUUUUUGUUCCUACAUGAAUGUUUUAGCAGAAUAGGUAGCUAAGGUAGGCUUGUGAGUCACCAGCUUGUUGGCAGAACAUUUCUGCUGGUCAUGCUGCAUUUAAUUUACAAGGAAAUUGCUAGGUCAAGUGAUUUCUUCAUCGUCACUCUUGAGUCAAAGAAAUUCCUUUCUUGAUAGUAUUUGUGCUCAAUUUGUAGCAUUAGCCUAUGAGCUACUUUGCAUGGGACUUCAAAUAAAAGUAAUUCCCAUCAAAUCAACAUAAUGAUAUUUUUUUAGUUUUUGUCAAUAAUAACUACUCUCUCCUAUCCAUAACAAGUGUCUUGGAUUUAGUACAAAUUUAGUAUGUCAAACACCCAAUUAUUUUUUGAGGUGUGACCAAAUAGUUUCUAUCACAUACUCUAUGUUUUCGGUUCAUGCGAGAUUUUCAACAUGUCAUGACAUACGGUUUAUACUAUUUUUAUCUUAAGCAUUUCUGCAUUUUUCUCUGGCCCUUACGAUGGCCUAUGUCAUACUAUCUCAUUUCCAGUAUACAAGGCAUAUCUUCAAAAUCUUCAAAUCUCAACAUACAAGGUUAAUUUUUCCUCCCGCCUACUCUUAUCCCAAACCACCCAAUGCAUUCUCUAGUAUGCUUUUGACUAGCCAAUUCAUGAAGAAAAAAAAAUACUGUAGUUAAUACACAAGAUUUAAUACUUGAUGUGUCAUUAUAUUAGGCCUUUCUUGGUUACAGACUUACAGGGAUUUUGGAGAUGGAUCUUAUAUAGUAGAAGGUAAAAGAGGCAGUAGUAAUUUAAAAGGUAAUUGGUCAUGAUCUCCCAACUCCGAGUCAGAGGUGGGUCGUAAGUUACUGAAUCCAUGCAGAUCAUUGUCGGCAAGGAGAAAAAUGAUUAAAACAAGGAGAUUAACUAAUGAAGCAUAACUUAGUGGAUCUUUUCAGGACAGAUUUAUAAUUGGGCGAUGAUACCAAUCCUUGCCCGUGACCAGAAGCAUUGGGGGCAACAGAGAAAAUAAAGUUCAGCAGGUUAGUGUCCAUGAUAUCGAGGUAUAUGCGGAGCAGGAUCAUAUAGGAGUUUGGCAACAGAGAUAUCUUUUGGCUUGACAAUGCACAUUUCCCAUUCAGUUCAGCGGGUAAUCUUACAGGAGGGUCUACAAGUUCAGAAUCUGUAGCAUUUCGAUCUUUCAGCAAACAUGCAAGAGUUGGAGCUUUACCUCCUGUCUUCCUUGUUCGGAUACUAUUUCUUGAUGUUCCCAAGAAAUAAUGGAAAGAAGGUUCAUGAUUGGGUGCUUAAGAAAAGACCCUUUUCUGGUCAGAGAAAAUGAUUCCACCUGCAAUCCGGGUUUCCCGUCGUCCGUGCGAAAGUAUUCUUCUCCACGAACGGAUAGAACGAGCCCUGGAUUCCUUGUUCUUUUAACAGAGAAGAUUAGGCGUCCAAUUUGAAUGUUCAGAUCAGAGAUGUGGUAACCAAUGUAAUUUAGCGAUCAUAUAAAUAUUUAUUUGUAACUAGAAAAGGCAGUGGAUUGAUGUC